CCUACGGGAGGCAGCAGUGGGGAAUUUUGGACAAUGGGCGCAAGCCUGAUCCAGCAAUGCCGCGUGAGUGAAGAAGGCCUUCGGGUUGUAAAGCUCUUUUGUCAGGGAAGAAACGGUGGAGGUUAAUACCUUCUGCUAAUGACGGUACCUGAAGAAUAAGCACCGGCUAACUACGUGCCAGCAGCCGCGGUAAUACGUAGGGUGCAAGCGUUAAUCGGAAUUACUGGGCGUAAAGCGUGCGCAGGCGGUUGUGCAAGACAGAUGUGAAAUCCCCGGGCUCAACCUGGGAAUUGCAUUUGUGACUGUACGGCUAGAGUGUGUCAGAGGGGGGUUAGAAUUCCACGUGUAGCAGUGAAAUGCGUAGAGAUGUGGAGGAAUACCGAUGGCGAAGGCAGCCCCCUGGGAUAACACUGACGCUCAUGCACGAAAGCGUGGGGAGCAAACAGGAUUAGAUACCCUGGUAGUCCACGCCCUAAACGAUGUCUACUAGUUGUCGGGUCUUUAUUGACUUGGUAACGCAGCUAACGCGUGAAGUAGACCGCCUGGGGAGUACGGUCGCAAGNUUAAAACGUCAAAGGAAUUGACGGCUGAGAGNGCGACGGCGACGACGAGGGGAGGAGG
rnacentral:rRNA from 1 species